AUGUCCACUGGCGCAUGUAUCACAGCUAGCCUCCCAUUCCUUGGUCUCCGAGGAGUAAACGCAGGCGAUCCCUGGUUUAUGCUGUUCUUUGUGCGUGCCUAUCAAGACGACUUGGAAGUGGCGGAUGUCUCCGGCAGGCCGGAGCACUGCCCCUCUGACCCGGGUCGGCGCCGCCAUGUAGAAGCUUGGGGGAACGGCAACGCGGUGCUGGUCGCCGUUGACAGGGUCCCACACCAGGGCCUGGUUGUGCUUCCCGAACAAGAUGAGCACGAGGCCAUGGCGGCAGUUGAGGAGCCUGUAGCGGUCGCCGUCGUCGAACUGCAAAGAGAAGCGCCCGACGGGGACACGGUUGGGGGGCUCCAGAGUUGGUACGAAGGAGAUCCCGCGGGCAGGAAUCACUUCCUCAAAGAAGAAGCCGAGGAGGGGAGGGUUGCGGCGGUGAUGGCGGCGGAAUCGGCGGAGGAAUCGGGGGUCAGAGACGAGGCAACACCAGCGCUUGCAGACGAGCGAGGCGCGCGGGAGGGAGGAGGGCUGAGGGGGGAGGCGGAGGAGGAUCUCGGACAGCAGAUCUUCGUCGUCCAGCGGCGCCGCCGCCGCCGGCGAGCGGGAAGGGCGGCGGAAGCUGCUCAU
rnacentral:rRNA from 1 species